rnacentral:misc_RNA from 1 species
AAGUCGUAACAAGGUCUCCGUUGGUGAACCAGCGGAGGGAUCAUUAGUGAGACUUAGCGCUCCAACCCUUGUGAACAUACCCAUUUGCGGCGUUGCUUCGGCGGGUUUGUUAGUGAGCUCUUUUUUGCUUGCUAGCAGUCCAGCCUGGCCAGCGGGGCCCCGCCGGCAGCGCCAAACUCUUUAGUUUUUUAGUGGAACUCUUCUGAGUGGUUAAAACACAAACAAGCAAAACUUUCAACAACGGAUCUCUUGGUUCUG